GCCGAAGUGGUGGAACUGGUAGACACGCUAGGUUCAGGGUCUAGUGGCCGUAGGGCCGUGGGAGUUCGAGUCUCCCCUUCGGCACCA
rnacentral:tRNA from 2 species